rnacentral:lncRNA from 1 species
AGAUAUCAAGAUGAGCAGGAGCAGCCUGUCCAAUUCAUGUUUGCUGAGAUCAGAUUAUUUUCAAGUCACCUAAUAUGUUCAAAGUGUGCAGUAACGCGCUGGGCAUGAUGCCGAUGCACUCUGACGACGACCUGAUGUCGUGGCUGACGACGCAGCUCGACUACCAGGCGGACGGGC